GCGCCGCUUUUCGCGCUAAAACUCAUGCCCUGCCUCGGCUCUCCUCUCCCGCCCCGCUCGGCAGAGCUCCGAAUGGGAUUCUCCAGGCAGCUCGCAGGACGCGCCGGCAGGAGAAACUCCCCGCUCGCAGCUAUGUGUGUUACGUUUGGAUGAGGGAACCUGCGCAGGGAAUCAACUGGGUGAAGGGACCGAAGUCAGUGUUGUGACAGAGCCACCAAUCCCAACUUGGUACAACUGCGUGGAGAAAGGCAAUAUAAUAGAGAUGUUGCAUUGAUGUCGCGUGUAGUUCCCAGAAUUAACUCCAUCCUACCAGUAUAAACAGCUCAAUGCUUAAUUGUGCGGUAAUAAGAAGAAAGAAAAUCCCCUUCUGCCCGAAAAAGAACAAAACUGCAGUUCCAAGUGCUUUCCUUUAGGAAUCAGCUGGUUUGCUGGAAGAAGACCUUUGCUGAAGUUAAAUCAGCACAUGCGUCUUGCGCAGCACUUCAGCAAGUGGAUUAUAAUAACAACCCCCUCAACGCGUGUCUCACAUGAGGAAUCUUUUAUGCCGUGCUGUAUUAAGACUUUUUUUUUGUCAUAUUGUUUAGCUCUGGGAAAGGGAAAAAAAUGAAAACAAAGCAAUUAAAAAGAUUGACAGGUA